rnacentral:rRNA from 1 species
GACGAACGUUGGCGGCGUGCUUAAUACAUGCAAGUCAACUGAAGCAGUGGUAGCAAUAUCGCUGUGGAGGUGGCGCACGGGUGAGUAACACGUAGGUAAUCUGCCUUCAGGUCUGGCAUAACUCCGGGAAACCGGGGCUAAUAGCAGAUGAUGCAGCGGCUCGACAUCGAGACAGUUGUUAAAGCUAUGGCGCCUGAAGAUGAGCCUGCGUCUGAUUAGCUAGUUGGCGGGGUAACGGCCCACCAAGGCAACGAUCAGUAGCUGGUCUGAGAGGAUGAUCAGCAACACUGGAACUGAGACACGGUCCAGACUCCUACGGGAGGCAGCAGUAAGGAAUAUUGCUCAAUGGGAGAAAUCCUGAAGCAGCAACGCCGCGUGAGGGACGAAGGGCUUUUGCUUGUAAACCUCUGUAGUGAGAGAAAAAAAUCCCAAUCUUUGGGACAUGAUGGUAUCUCAAAAGUAAGCCCCGGCUAACUACGUG